rnacentral:misc_RNA from 1 species
AGCAGCCGCGGUAAUUCCAGCUCCAAUAGCGUAUAUUAAAGUUGUUGCAGUUAAAAAGCUCGUAGUUGAAUUUCGGGAUCAAUUAAUUGGUCGUGCCUAUGGUACGUACUGAUUUUAUUGGUUUCUCCCUUCUGACGAACCAUGAUGUCAUUAAUUUGGUGUCGUGGAGAAUCAGGACUGUUACUUUGAAAAAUUAGAGUGUUUAAAGCAGGCUAACGCUUGAAUACAUUAGCAUGGAAUAAUGAAAUAGGACGUUUGAUCCUAUUUUGUUGGUUUCUAGGAUCGACGUAAUGAUUAAUAGGGAUAGUUGGGGGCAUUAGUAUUCAAUUGUCAGAGGUGAAAUUCUUGGAUUUAUUGAAGACUAACUACUGCGAAAGCAUUUGCCAAGGAUGUUUUCAUUAAUCAAGAACGAAAGUUAGGGGAUCGAAGACGAUCAGAUACCGUCGUAGUCUUAACCAUAAACUAUGCCGACUAGGGAUCGGAUGAUGUUAAUUUUUAAUGACUCAUUCGGCGCCUUAAC